rnacentral:rRNA from 1 species
GAGUUCGAUCAUGGCUCAGAUUGAACGCUGGCGGGAUACUUUACAUGCAAGUCGAACGGCAGCACGGACUUCGGUCUGGUGGCGAGUGGCGAACGGGUGAGUAAUGUAUCGGAACGUGCCUGAUAGCGGGGGAUAACUACGCGGCGUAGCUAAUACCACAUACGCCCUUCGAAGGGGAAAGCAGGGGACCUUCGGGCCUCGCACUGUGGAAGCGGCCGAUAUCGGAUUAGCGUAGUUGGUGGGGUAACGGCUCACCAAGGCGACGAUAUGUGUAGCUGGUUUGAGAGGACGACCAGCCACACUGGGAUUGAGACACGGCCCAGACUCCUACGGGAGGCAGCAGUGGGGAAUUUUGGACAAUGGAAACCCUGAUCCAGCCAUCCGCGUGUGCGAUGAAGGCCUUCGGGUUGUAAAGCACUUUUUGGCAGGAAAGAAACGGCACGGGAUAAUACCCCGUGCAACUGACAGUACCUGCAGGGAAUAAGCACCGGCUAACUACGUGCCAGCAGCCGCGGUAAUACGUAGGGUGCAAGCGUUAAUCGGAAUUACUGGGCGUAAAGCGUGCGCAGGCGGUUCGGAAGAAAGAUCUUGAAAUCCCAGAGCUUAACUUUGGAACUGCAUUUUUAACUACCGAGCUAGAGUGUGUCAGAGGGAGGUGGAAUUCCGCGUGUAGCAGUGAAAUGCGUAGAUAUGCGGAGGAACACCGAUGGCGAAGGCAGCCUCCUGGGAUAACACUGACGCUGUCUGCGAAAGCUGAUGGGGAGCAAACGGAUUAGAAUGCCCUGGUAGUCCACGCCCUAAACGAUGUCAACUAGCUGUUGGGGCCUUCGGGCCUUGGUAGCGCAAUAACGCGUGAAGUUGACCGCCUGGGGAGUACGGUCGCAGAUUAAAACUCAAAGGAAUUGACGAGGGGACCCGCACAAGCGGUGUGGAUGAUGUCAGUUAAUUCGAUGCAACGCGAAAAACCUUACCCUUGACAUGUCUGGAAUCCCGAAGAGAUUUAGAGUGCUCGCAAGAGAGAACCGGAACACAGGUGCUGCAUGGCUGUCGUCAGCUCGUGUCGUGAGAUGUUGGGUUAAGUCCCGCAACGAGCGCAACGCUGUCAUUAGUUGCUACGAAAGGGCACUCUAAUGGGACUGCCGGUGACAAACCGGAGGAAGGUGGGGAUGACGUCAAGUCCUCAUGGCCCUUAUGGGUAGAACCACACGUCAUACAAUGGUCGAGACAGAGGGUCGCCAACCCGCGAGGGGGGAGCCAAUCCAGAAACCCGAUCGUAGUCCGGAUCAUGAUCUGCAACUCGACUGCGUGAAGUCGGAAUCGCUAGUAAUCGCGGAUCAGCAUGUCGCGGUGAAUACGUUCCCGGUGCUUGUACACACCGCCCGUCACACCAUGGGAGUGCGGUUUUGCAGAAGUAGUUAGCCUAACCGUAAGGGGCGAUUACCACGGUAGGAUUCAUGGGGUGAAGUCGUAACAAGGUAGCUCUGAGCAAUGC